GUGAACGCUGGCGGUAGGCCUAACACAUGCAAGUCGAACGGCAGCACCGUAAGAGCUUGCUCUUACGGGUGGCGAGUGGCGGACGGGUGAGGAAUACAUCGGAAUCUACUUUUUCGUGGGGGAUAACGUAGGGAAGCUUACGCUAAUACCGCAUACGACCUACGGGUGAAAGCAGGGGAUCUUCGGACCUUGCGCGAUUGAAUGAGCCGAUGUCGGAUUAGCUAGUUGGCGGGGUAAAGGCCCACCAAGGCGACGAUCCGUAGCUGGUCUGAGAGGAUGAUCAGCCACACUGGAACUGAGACACGGUCCAGACUCCUACGGGAGGCAGCAGUGGGGAAUAUUGGACAAUGGGCGCAAGCCUGAUCCAGCCAUACCGCGUGGGUGAAGAAGGCCUUCGGGUUGUAAAGCCCUUUUGUUGGGAAAGAAAAGCAGCAGGUUAAUACCCCGCUGUUCUGACGGUACCCAAAGAAUAAGCACCGGCUAACUUCGUG
rnacentral:rRNA from 1 species